rnacentral:rRNA from 1 species
GAGGAAUAUUGGGCAAUGGGCGCAAGCCUGACCCAGCCAUGCCGCGUGCAGGAUGACGGCGCUAUGCGUUGUAAACUGCUUUUGUACAGGAAGAAACCCAUUUACGUGUAAGUGGUUGACGGUACUGUCAGAAUAAGCAUCGGCUAACUCCGUGCCAGCAGCCGCGGUAAUACGGAGGAUGCAAGCGUUAUCCGGAUUCAUUGGGUUUAAAGGGUGCGUAGGCGGAGUACUAAGUCAGUGAUGAAAUCCUGCAGCUUAACUGUAGAACUGUUAUUGAUACUGGUAUUCUUGAAUGCAGUUGAGGUAGGCGGAAUGUGUAAUGUAGCGGUGAAAUGCUUAGAUAUUACACAGAACACCGAUUGCGAAGGCAGCUUACUAAACUGUGAUUGACGCUGAGGCACGAAAGCGUGGGGAGCAAAC